GCGGCGUGCCUAAUACAUGCAAGUCGAGCGGACAGAAGGGAGCUUGCUCCCGGAUGUUAGCGGCGGACGGGUGAGUAACACGUGGGUAACCUGCCUGUAAGACUGGGAUAACUCCGGGAAACCGGAGCUAAUACCGGAUAGUUCCUUGAACCGCAUGGUUCAAGGAUGAAAGACGGUUUCGGCUGUCACUUACAGAUGGACCCGCGGCGCAUUAGCUAGUUGGUGGGGUAAUGGCUCACCAAGGCGACGAUGCGUAGCCGACCUGAGAGGGUGAUCGGCCACACUGGGACUGAGACACGGCCCAGACUCCUACGGGAGGCAGCAGUAGGGAAUCUUCCGCAAUGGACGAAAGUCUGACGGAGCAACGCCGCGUGAGUGAUGAAGGUUUUCGGAUCGUAAAGCUCUGUUGUUAGGGAAGAACAAGUGCGAGA
rnacentral:rRNA from 2 species